UACGGAGGGUGCGAGCGUUGUCCGGAAUCACUGGGCGUAAAGGGCGCGUAGGCGGCUCAUGAAGGCUGUGGUGAAAGUCCGGGGCUCAACCCCGGAUCUGCCGUGCCGACUGUCAGACUCGAGGACUGUAGAGGCAGGCGGAAUUCCUGGUGUAGCGGUGAAAUGCGCAGAUAUCAGGAGGAACACCAAUGGCGAAGGCAGCACUCUGGGACGGUACUGACGCUGAGACGCGAAAGCGUGGGGAGCAAACAGG
rnacentral:rRNA from 1 species